rnacentral:tRNA from 1 species
GGCGUAGCGCAGCUUGGUAGCGCGCCUGCUUUGGGAGCAGGAGAUCGCAGGUUCAAAUCCUGUCGCC